rnacentral:rRNA from 1 species
GAUGAACGCUGGCGGCGUGCCUAAUACAUGCAAGUCGAGCGAACAGACGAGGAGCUUGCUCCUCUGACGUUAGCGGCGGACGGGUGAGUAACACGUGGAUAACCUACCUAUAAGACUGGGAUAACUUCGGGAAACCGGAGCUAAUACCGUAUAAUAUAUUGAACCGCAUGGUUCAAUAGUGAAAGACGGUUUUGCUGUCACUUAUAGAUGGAUCCGCGCCGCAUUAGCUAGUUGGUAAGGUAACGGCUUACCAAGGCAACGAUGCGUAGCCGACCUGAGAGGGUGAUCGGCCACACUGGAACUGAGACACGGUCCAGACUCCUACGGGAGGCAGCAGUAGGGAAUCUUCCGCAAUGGGCGAAAGCCUGACGGAGCAACGCCGCGUGAGUGAUGAAGGUCUUCGGAUCGUAAAACUCUGUUAUUAGGGAAGAACAAAUGUGUAAGUAACUAUGCACGUCUUGACGGUACCUAAUAAGAAAGCCACGGCUAACUACGUG